ensembl:lncRNA
UCUUCCUCCUACUCCUCUUGCUCUCUGUUCAUUGUUAGCAUCCAUUGUUCAAAACAGGUCAUCUGACCUUUGACCUAUUUAUAGGCCUAUCUAUACUACUGUAAAGUAAAGCAGUGAUUGGUUAGUGAUCAGUUAAGCAAUUAGUGUUUGCACAUGUGAGGAGUGUGUCUGUGUGACCUGGUGAAUAAGUGUAGCAUUUUGAUUGGUUGUGUUUGGAAAAGGAAAGCAAGUCACUUCCUGAUAGAUCUUUGUGUUUUAGGUAGAGAAUUGUGUGUAGUGUUUUGAAAAAAAGUGUUUUAUGCAAUUGAAAACUGAGUCAAAGGCUGAGAAAUAGCUUAUGGUUUUGAAGAUUUGGCAUGUAGUUUUGCACUUUGAGUGAGAGGUUUCAAAAAUCGUGUGACAUGAAAAGAUUUUGUGUGUAAGCAGUUGGUAAAAACUGUAUUAUAUCUGCAUGCAAAAAUAUGCAAAGGUUUAACCUUUGGCCAACACAGACUUUGCAUGAAAAAUAAUAAAUUCUAAAUGAAUUCAUGUCUUUAACUUGCAGGUGAGACCUUCAUCAUUUCUGAAUAUGUACAGCACAGGAAAUGAGACCGUGACAGAUGUGUGAAAAACCCCUCGCUGUCUGAUAUGUAAACAGAUUCAGGUUUUGAUAGGAACAACAAUACUGAAGGAAGCCGCAGAUCUCUGAGCAGCUCCGAGACAGAGAUAUGCUUUUCCAUGAUGUCAUAUUUGCUGCUGUCUUCUUUGCUUUUUACUCCUCAGGAAAGGCUCACACUCAAAACUGGGUAAAGCAGUGGCCAGGUGAAGUGUACAGCACACCCGGAGAAAACAUCACCAUACACUGCCAGACUCAAGGAGACAUUCAGGAAGCUAAGUGUUUAGUAAACUGGUACAUCAAGAACAGACAUGGGAAAUAUGUCAGCAUCAACAAACUCACUCAGUUUAGCGGGAGACAUUCUGAAGACAAAAAAGAAAGCCACUGGCGCCAGAGCUUUACCCUGACGUCCCUAGAGCUCAAUGACACUGGCAGAUUCUACUGUAAUUACUUGUGCAGAAUUAAUGGCACACAUGAGCAGUACUAUGGGACUGGGACUCGACUUUUUGUACAUUUUAGGACUGAGAAUGUGACUAAGGGCAGCCCACUGUGUACCUUCAAUAAGACAGGUAAGGAUAAUGUUGCAUCAAUUUCUAGCAGGACAGUGGAACUUUUGUGUUUUGGUACAAAUUAUCAUUUAGAUCGGGGUGUCAAACUUAAUUCUUGGAAGGCCACAGCCCUGCAGAGUUUAGCUCCAACCCUAAUUAAACACACCUGAUCCAGCUAAUCACAUCCUUCAGGCUUAUUUGAAAAAUACAUGGUAUGUAUGUUGGAGCAGGGUUUGAACUAAACUCUGCAGGGCUCCGGCCCUCCAGGAACUGAGUUUGACACCCCUGAUUUAGAUCAUUUCUAAGUUUCUAUAGUUGUUUAUUAUUUCUCUUUUUUCCUUUUUUUUUUUUCAGGUGAAGUGGAGGGUGAAUCCAGAGUAUACUUGUUUUUCCUAUUUCUUGUUUUAAUUGUUUUAUUGUCUAAAGUUGUUGUAUUUAUAUUUAUGACUUUGGUUGCACUUUUUUCUCCUCAUUAAAUCUAACUCCUGUUUCCUUUAUGCAAGACAAGUUUAUUUAUAUAGCACAUAUGAUAAAAACAAUGAUGAUCCAAAGUGCUUAAAUUGACAAUUCAUGAAG